rnacentral:misc_RNA from 1 species
CAUCGUUAUCAUCUCUAUGUUACUUUCAGCAGCAGCAGCAGCAGUAGUAGUAACAGCAAUAAUAACAUUAGUAGUAGCUGACACGUGCUGACGUGAUUGCAAAUUCAAAAGGAAAAGUUCAGUACCUUAAACAAUAGAAGGGAAAACGAUACAUGUCUCUUCUUAUAUAUCUCUUUUUUUCUUGUUCCUUUUUUACGUUAUCGUUGUUAUUAUUAAUGGCCCAUUUCCGGAUAUACUUAUCUUUCGCAAUCAGCGCAGAUGUCAAUGAAACACGUGGUGCGCAUAUCCGGACUGAUUUCCGGCACGCGCACGUCUUUCUUCGCACGUGUUACAUGUGCUGUAUUUAUCCCAGUUAAAUGCUUCUCACGUAUGUUAGUCUACAUCCGGACGUUCUUAGUAGAGAAGACAUGCUACUAACGAUCUAUGAUGAUACGUGUUUUGUUUAUUUCGUAAAACAAGAACGACACAAAGAGAAAUUUUCUUACAUUGUAAUUUAUAUAUUUUUAUGAAAGGCUGUCAUUCUCGUUCAUCCUUUCGUCGAUUGAUUUUAUACCAUGAGAAAUAUGUAUAUUUCAGGUGCAUCUAUUCAAAAAACACAAAGGUGUUUAUUUCAUAAAGUAUAGCUCUCUUAAUCGAACCUUCAUACAGAUAUCGUUGAUUGAUAAUGUGUACAUGUGUUAUCCCUCAACGUUGUUCACCACUUAUGUAUAUACGUAUCUUCAUCCUUGAUCUCUCAUCAUUAUUGAGAAGAAGGGGCAGCGAUCCCGACUAAUAAAGAGGGAGAAUACACUUGCUCUAUUUAUAAGUUACAAUCUCUCUUUCUUUCUCUUUCUCUUCUACGUCUCUUCUUUUUCUUCUUCGUCUUCUUCCUCCUCACCACGAUGAAUUUUGUGAUGUUAAAUUUAGUUUCGAUAGAGACGAAGCUGAGCUUAGCAUAUGAGACUGAGUUUCAUCUAUAUUCAACGUGCUGAAUAAUUUUGAAAUUUUAAACCGAUAUAAAAUACUUUCGUAGAAGUUGUAGACUAGUAUUAUUCGUUAUUUUACUCUCUUUUUCAUACUAAAUAGUUUCUAAAUACUUGAAGAGAUUUUUUCAAUAUUAUUUUCUCGUGUUUUACGUGGCAUACAUUUAUGCAUGAUCCAACUCAAGAGUUUAGAUUAUAUGUUUCAAUAAUGUGGUGCAAUAAUGAUAUUUUAGAAGAAGAUGUUUUUUUUAUAAAGAAUGGAUAAUACGUGGAACUAUUAUUCUAAAGAAUACAAGAAUUUAAUUGCUACCAUGGAAGAAGAUAAUAAACUACAUAGGAAAGAUUCACAGUCGGAUUCGUCAGAUGCUGCUUCAACUAUAAAACACUGGGAUAGUCAAUGGACACCUUCAGAAGGAUAUGAUUCUUCUGAAACGUCUAAUUCAGGCUGUGGUGAGGAUUAUGCUGAAGAUUACCAACACAGAAUAGCAAUUGAUCCGUCUAGAUUUGUUGAAGAUUGUCAUAGUGGUUGUAGGUCUCAAACUUGUCUUUGUCAGGGUUGUCUAUUCGAAUACAAUAGGAUGAUAAAUCUUCAAGGCAGUGUGUCCAAUAUUUGUGGAACACCAAUAACUAAAACUAAUCCAAAUCAUUUAUCAACGCUUCCAUCUUUGUAUAGUACACCAUGCUCAAGUAUCCAGAGCGAGCUGCCACGUCAUUAUAACAAGGAUCAUCUUCCUUUAAGUUGCAACUGUCACACAAUGUAUCCUUGUCAUAUGCAACAAAUUGCAUUGCCUUUGAAGGAAUGUCAUUUACAUUCCAGUGACAAAACAAAUAGCACUACUUCUCUUUCUGGAAAUUCAGUAGGUCGUUGUGCUGGUUCGUUGGAUAGAAGAAGAAGAAGAUUUAAAAGUAAAACUGAUCAUAAUCAGAGAACUAAAUCGCAUAGUGAUUUAAUAUGCUGUGCUAAAGAUAGACCACAUUACUGUUCUUUACAGCAAUUUCAAUGUGGCAAUAACUCACACAUGUAUAGCUACUAUAGUAAAACUGAGGAACGUCUUCAAAAAUUAGAAAGCGAACGUGGUGCACUUCACAUGGAGGUAUCAGUUCUAUCUGAGCAAGUCGAUGCACAAUCUAGCAAAAUUCAAGAAUUAGAAAAUAUGCUUAAAGAAAAAAAGCAUUCUCUCAGACAAAUGGAAGAAGCUUUACAAAAGGAAGUGUUAUCAAGAAGUGCAUUAGAGACACAAAAACUCGAGCUUCUUAGUUCUCUUUCCGAACUGAAACUCAGGCAGGCUAGUUUAGAACACGAAAAUUUAGCAUUAAGAAAUACAAGUUCAUUAUCCAAUGGGGAGAGAUUCAGUAGACAUGCCGGUCAAUAUAGCAGUCUUCCAAGGCCACCAACAUCUUCGAAGAAAGGAGUCGCGUUUGGUAAGGUUUCCAAUUUAAUCUCCGGAGAGCACACAACAGUACCAUUGGCUGUUAGAGGAAUUUCUGCGAGAUGUCUAUCAGCUCCUAUUCUAGCGGAAGAAGAGAAAACAGUAAUUGGGGAGUCAAGUUUUCAACCAGAAUCAGCACCACCAAAGCCCCUUGCAGAAUUGUCUAUAGAAGAAGUUGGUGAUUGGUUAUCCCGUAUUGGUCUGGAAUGUUAUGCUGCAGAAUUAAGACGAUGGGGAGCUACCGGUGUAAAAUUAGUUGAUGCAACACCAAAUCAAAUUGAAAAGGAACUUGAUAUCAAAAAUGUAUUACACAGAAAGAAAUUAUUAUAUGCAAUUGAAUCGGAGAGAUCUAAUGCAGAGGGUUUUCUUGGUUCGGAGAAGAUGGACAGUGCUGCGGUAUUACGAUGGUUAGAUGAUAUUGGAUUACCCCAACAUAAAGAAGCUUUUCAUAAUGCCAAAGUUGAUGGUAGAGUAUUACAUAGAUUAACAACAGAAGACUUAUUGAAUCUCGGUGUGACAGCUCAGCUACAUGCAGCUAGUUUACGACGAGGAAUUCAGAUUUUGAGGGAAUUGAAUUUUGAAUUUGAUAAUUUGGAGAGAAGAUCAGUAAGUGGAAACGGUGCAGAUGGAAGUAACGUUACGCUAUGGACUAAUCACAGAGUGAUGGAAUGGUUAAGAGUGGUUGACCUUGCAGAAUAUGCACCCAAUAUGAGAGGCUCAGGAGUGCAUGGUGGACUAAUGAUCCAUGAAGGUCGUUUCACCUCAGAGUUGUUAGCAACCAUAUUAAGCAUUCCACCUUCAAAAACUCUAUUAAGAAGGCAUUUGACAACUCACUUUAAUCAAAUUCUUGGUAGAGAAGUCGUGCAACAUAAAAGAGAGAUGGAAAGUACACUUGGAUUCGUACCUUUAACUCUUACGGCUAGAUUGAAGGCACCAAAGAAGUCUCAGUUCACGUUGAAACGUAAAAAGAGUAAAAACGAAGUGGAUUAUGGAAAUCUGGUUUGCCCUUUGGAAGCAUCACCACCAGAUCUAGAGGAUACUGGGCAAAAGAAAGUAAUUGGUUGUAUAUGAGGAACAUACACAAAAUUUAUUUUGUACAAUGAAUUUUUUAGAUGCUCGAGGUGGUAUUCCAUUGUCUGCAAUGCACGUAUAUUCACCCAUGUGUUCCCUAUUCACUACGCUUAUAUUAAACGUGCUGCCAAUUACGGAAGUUACUGUAUAACACGAGUGGUACUUGAUGUUCUUACCAUGCCAAGAUCCUAGAGGUAUUACGGUACCAUCUGUCUUAGACCAUUGAACAACAGGUGGUGGUCUUCCACUCGUUGCACAUCUCAAUCUUACAUUGCUCCCUUCUCUUAAUGUAAUCACUUCAGUUCCAUUACGUGAUACGGAAUUAUUUUCUUUGAUAAAGUUUUACGUGCAAAUAAGAAGAUAAUAUGUAUCGGUAAGAUUCGUAAAAUUAUAAAAAUCUUUUCAUUAUAUUGUAAAUGAAUACUUAAGAUAUUUUACCUAAGAUAGAUGGUGGUAUUAAUAAAUCGUUAACAUUGUAAUCAUUCAUAUGAACUUUCCAAGCAGAUAUUCCAGGCUUCCCAUCUUCUCCAGGUAUUCCUGGCCUACCUGGUGGACCGAUGUCUCCUACAAUGUGUAAAAGACACGUUAUGUUCCUUUUUUUUUCUUGUUUUUAUCUAAUACACGUUUAACUUCAUUAUUUCGAAUUAAUUGAGUAUACUUCAACUGGAUAAGAAGAGAUGAUAUUAAAUGAGAUCUCUUU